rnacentral:rRNA from 1 species
AGAGUUUGAUCAUGGCUCAGAAUCAACGCUGGCGGCGUGCCUCAGACAUGCAAGUCGAACGCGAAAGCCUCCUUCGGGGGGCAAGUAGAGUGGCGCACGGGUGAGUAACACGUAGGUAAUCUACCUUUGGAUUGGGAAUAACCACCGGAAACGGUGGCUAAUACCGAAUAAUGCAGCGGCACCUAAUGGUGACAGUUGUUAAAGCGGGGGAUCGCAAGACCUCGCGUCUGAAGAGGAGCCUGCGGCAGAUUAGCUAGUUGGUAAGGUAACGGCUUACCAAGGCGAUGAUCUGUAGCCGGCCUGAGAGGGCGGUCGGCCACACUGACACUGACAUACGGGUCAGACUCCUACGGGAGGCAGCAGUCGGGAAUUUUGGGCAAUGGGCGAAAGCCUGACCCAGCAACGCCGCGUGAAGGAUGAAAUCCUUCGGGAUGUAAACUUCGCAAGAACGGGAAGAAUAAGUAAGAGUUAAUAUCUCUUACGAUGACGGUACUGUUUGUAAGCUCCGGCUAACUCCGUGCCAGCAGCCGCGGUAAUAC